rnacentral:rRNA from 1 species
AUUGGGCCUAAAACGUCCGUAGCCGGUUUAUAAGUCCUUUGUGAAAUCGUUACGCUCAACUCAUUGAAUUGCCAAGGAUACUGCUUGACUAGAGACCGGAAGACGUCAGGGGAAUUUCCGGGGUAACGGUGAAAUGCUAUGAUCCUAGAAAGACCUCCCGUAGCGAAGGCGCUUGACCAGGACGGGCCUGACGGUGAGGGACGAAAGCUGGGGGAGCGACCAGGAUUAGAUACCCUGGUUAGUCCCAGCCGUAAACGAUGUGGACUAGGUGUCCUAUCACCUAAGUGGUGCAUGGGUGCCGUAGGGAAGCCGUUAAG